GACGAACGCUGGCGGCGUGCUUAACACAUGCAAGUCGAACGGAAAGGCCCUGCUUUUGUGGGGUGCUCGAGUGGCGAACGGGUGAGUAACACGUGAGUAACCUGCCCUUGACUUUGGGAUAACUUCAGGAAACUGGGGCUAAUACCGGAUAGGAGCUCCUGCUGCAUGGUGGGGGUUGGAAAGUUUCGGCGGUUGGGGAUGGACUCGCGGCUUAUCAGCUUGUUGGUGGGGUAGUGGCUUACCAAGGCUUUGACGGGUAGCCGGCCUGAGAGGGUGACCGGCCACAUUGGGACUGAGAGACGGCCCAGACUCCUACGGGAAGCAGCAGUGGGGAAUAUUGCACAAUGGGCGGAAGCCUGAUGCAGCAACGCCGCGUGCGGGAUGACGGCCUUCGGGUUGUAAACAGAUUUCGCCUGUGACGAAGCGUGAGUGACGGUAAUGGGUAAAGAAGCACCGGCUAACUACGU
rnacentral:rRNA from 1 species